rnacentral:siRNA from 1 species
CAACUUGAUGGGUGUCCCUGACA